rnacentral:rRNA from 1 species
GUACCGUGAGGGAAAGAUGAAAAGAACUUUGAAAAGAGAGUUAAACAGUACGUGAAAUUGUUGAAAGGGAAACGAUUGAAGUCAGUCAUACCAACGGGAAAUCAACCUUUUGAGCUCGGUCUCGUGGGUUUUGAAGAGUUUCAAAGCCUUCGGAUUCGCGGGAUUGGGAUCUCUCGGCGUACUUUUUCGUACGGUUAGUCAACAUCGGUUUUGAAUGUCAUAAAAUGACUGGAGGAAUGUGGCUUCGAUCUCGUAUUGAAGUGUUAUAGCCUUUGGUAGAUGUGAUGUUUGAGACCGAGGAUUGCAACGGAUACCCUUCAGGGCUAUUCGUCUGAUCUCUGAUACGUUGCCUUGAUGUUGAAAGCUUGCUUAUGAUGUUAGGGUAUUACGGUCAAAAGGUUAGAACGAAUUACAUUCGUUAAGG